GAGCCGGAGGCGCUCCUGGGCGGUGCUCGGAUAGCUCCGCCCACUCCCAGCAUUCAAUGCGGUGUUCUGGCCGCCAUUGUUUGAAUUUGAAAACCAAAAUAUCUAGGUGCUGCUAACUGCUCUGGCUGGCUCGGCUAGUGUGCAGGUGAAGACGGACCCAGGUGAGGGUGUGGGGAAAGAGGUGGGUGACUUCGCACUUACCGGGUCUUUAGGUGGGAAACGGCUCUGGCAAUCUCGGCAUCUUUCGACAAAACUCCUGGCGCCCCUGAGGUUGCAGGCAGGGACUGGGUUGCAGAGCUAUGAGGGCGUCUGGGUUUGCGCCACACCCCAUAUGUUUAGCCUAAUAGUUAGCACAGACUGAACCCUACUACUUGAUUCAGGAGUUCAAUCUCGUCUCUGCCUCAGGUUAGCUAAGUAGGGCAAGCUAUUUAAUCUCUGGACCUUAGUUUCCUCGUCUGUUGAAAGGGGGAACUCUAAUAGUACUCUGAUCGGCUUCCGAAAGGUCAUAGCCUUGAAAACCCUAUGGCGCAGUUCUGUGCACGCAGAGGGUCGCCCUGAGUCGGAAUCGACUCCACGGCAACUAACAACAAUUACAGUACUCUACGUACCUCUUAAGGCUCGUGAAGAUUGAAUGAUAAUAUGUAUAAAGUUGUUAGAAACAGUGUUAGAUACAUAGUAGGCAUUGAGUGCAAUAAAUAUUUGUGUUCUUGUUAUUGCUGCUUUUGCUGUUGUUGAGACGGAGGCCUCCUGCCGAACCUAGUUUUCCGAAUCUCUGAGGAUGGCAUCUAAUUUGAAUCAAGAUGAGGUGCCUAGACCAUCUUAUGUUUUUAGUGCUGAUCCGAUUGAAAGGCCUUCAGAAAUAAAUUUUGAUGGCAUUAAGCUUGAUCUCUCUCAUGAAUUUUCUUUAGUUGCUUCAGGCGCUGAGAUAAAUAGUUUGGAAUCCAAAGAUUAUCUCCAGGUUUGUCUUCGAAUAAGAUCAUUAACACAGUCAGAAAAGGAACGUGAAUCUGAGGGCUGUGUGUGUAUUUUGGAUUCACAGACGGUUCUGCUUAAAGAUCCCCAAAGCAUCAUUGGUCAGUCAAGUGAGAAGAGCUCUGGGCAGAUGGCACAGAAAUUCAGCUUUUCCAAGGUUUUUGGCCCAGAAACUACACAGAAGGAAUUCUUUCAGGGUUGCAUUAUACAAUUAGUAAAAGAUCUCUUGAAAGGACAAAGUCGGCUGAUAUUUACUUAUGGGGUAACUAACUCAGGAAAAACAUACACAGUUCAAGGCACAGAAGAAAAUAUUGGUAUUCUCCCUCGAGCUUUGAAUGUAUUAUUUGAUAGUCUUCGGGAAAGACUGUACACAAAGAUGAACCUUAAACCACAUAGAUCCAGAGAAUACUUACGGUUAUCACCAGAUCAAGAGAAAGAAGAAGUUGCUAACAAAAGCGCAUUGCUUCGCCAAAUUAAAGAGGUUGCCGUGCAUAAUGGCAGUUAUGAUACUCUUUGUGGAAGUUUAAUAGACUCUUUGAAUACCCCCGAGUGUGAAGAAUCCGUGAUAAAUUGUGAACAAGCUAGCUUGAAUAUGGAUAAUAAUAUAAAAUUUUCUGUGUGGGUUUCUUUCUUUGAAAUUUAUAAUGAAUGCGUCUAUGAUCUGUUUGUUCCUGUAUCACCCAAGUUCCAAAAGAGAAGGAUGCUGCGCCUUUCCCAAGAUGUAAAGGGCUAUUCUUUUAUAAAAGAUCUUCAGUGGAUUCAGGUAUCUGAUUCCAAAGAAGCAUAUAAACUUUUAAAAGUAGGAAUAAAGAACCAGAGUGUUGCCUUCACAAAACUGAAUAAUGCUUCUAGUAGAAGUCACAGCAUAUUUACUAUUAGAAUAUUACAGAUUGAAGAUUCUGAAAUGCCUCGUGUAAUGCGAGUCAGCGAAUUGUCUUUAUGUGAUCUUGCUGGUUCAGAACGAAGCAUGAAGACCCAGAAUGAAGGUGAAAGAUUAAGAGAGACUGGAAAUAUCAACACUUCUUUAUUGACCCUUGGAAAGUGUAUUAAUGUUUUGAAGAACAGUGAAAAGUCAAAGUUUCAACAGCACGUGCCUUUUCGGGAAAGUAAACUUACCCACUAUUUUCAAAGUUUUUUUAAUGGUAAAGGGAAAGUAUGUAUGAUCGUCAACAUCAGCCAGGAUCAUUUUGCCUAUGAUGAAACACUUCAUGUGUUGAAGUUCUCAGCCACUGCACAAAAAGUUUUCGUUCCGGACACUUUAAAUACAUCUCUAGGAAAAUCUUUUGCACCUGUCAGAUCUUCUCAAGAAACGUCAUUAGAUGUUAAUGAUUCAGACAAUAAAAUAUUAAAUGUAAAAAGAACAACCAUUUCAUGGGAAAGUAGUCUAGAAGAUCUGGUGGAAGGUGAAGAUUUGGCCGAGGAUCUAGAAAAAGCUGAGGAAAACCAAAAUGUGGGAACUGAAUUUACUGAAGAAGAUCUAGAUCAAACAUUAGAGGAAGACAAGGCUGUCAUUAGUCAAGAGAAGAGAAAACUCUUGGAUUUAAUUGAAGACUUGAAAAAAAAGCUGAUAAAUGAAAAAAAAGAAAAGUUAACAUUGGAAUUUAAAAUUCGAGAAGAAGUUACACAGGAGUUUACUCAGUAUUUGACUGAGCGGGAAGCUGACUUUAAGGAAACUCUCCUUCAGGAACGAGAAAUAUUGGAAGAGAAUGCUGAGUGUCGUCUGGCUAUCUUCAAGGAUUUGGUUGGUAAAUGUGACGUUCAAGAAGAACCAACGAGUGGAGGUCGUGCCCUGAAAGUUGAAACUGAAGGAACACGUAAUUGUGUAGGAAUUGAAGACAUUAUUGAUUCUCUUCAAGAUGAUGUCACUGAUAUUAAGAAACAGGCUGAAAUCGCUCACUUAUAUAUUGCAUCUCUUGCUGACCCCCAGGAAGCUAUUGCUUGUUUAGAACUAAAGUUUAAUCAACUUAAAGCUGAAUUAGCUAAGGCCAAAGAAGAAUUAACCAAAACCCAAGAAAAGUUAAAAAAGAGAGAAAAUGAAUCAGAAAUUAAUUUAAAUUCAUUGGCUCAAGAGCUCGAGAACUCUAAUAAGGACAAGACUGAUGCAUCUUUAAUAAUAAACAAUAAAUUGACUUACACUGAAAUAGUUGAAAUACCUAAGGACAGCAAAACUAAAACCUCUUCAGGAAGAAAAAGAUCAAAUGAAAAUGAACUUCUUCAACAAGAUGAACCACCAGCAAAGAAAGGACCUAUAAAUAUUAGCCCGUCUAUCUCUGAAGAUCACAAGAAAAGGGAAGAUAUGCAACAAAACAUUUCCAAAGAAGAGGAAGACAUUAGAGUUUUACAAAAAAAUAAUGAGGAGUUGAAAACGCAUUUACUCACUAUUGAGAAUGAACUUAUAAAUGAAAAAGAAGAAAAAGCAGAAUUAAAUAAGCAGAUUAUUAGUUUGCAGGAGGAACUUUCUUCUUCUGAAAAAAAGAUUUUUGAUUUAAGUAUAGAGGUCCAACAAAUUCAAUCAAAAUAUGAAAAUGCAAUUUCUGAAUUACAUGUGCAGAAAGGUAUAAAUCAAGGACAGGAGGAAAAGAUUAUGAAACUGUCAAAUGAGCUAGUAACUGCGAGAAAAACCAUAACAAAUAAUGUUUCAAAAAUAAAAUUGAUGCAGACAAAAAUAGAUGAAUUACGUAUGCUUGAUUCAGGUUCUCAGAUCUCAAACAUAGAUUUACUCAGUCUCAGGGAUCUGUCAAAUGGUUCCCAGGAGGAUAGUUUGCUGACUACACAGUUACACCUUCUAGAUGACGAUUAUUUGGUAAGUCAGCAGAUUAAAGAAUCUUGUAUUCAAGGACUCAGUCGGGAAAGUUCUUUCUACUCUAGUAUUGAAGCCAUUUGGGAAGAAUGUAAGGAGAUUGUGAAGGCCUCCUCCCAAAAAAGUCAUCAGAUCCAAGAGCUGGAACAAAAAGUUGAAAAAUUACAGGUAGAAGUGAAAAGCUAUAAAGAUGAAAAUGAUAGACUAAAUGCAGAAGAGAGGGAGAAUAAAAAUCAAGAUGACCUACUAAAAGAAAAAGAAAGUCUUAUACAACAGCUGAAAGAAGAACUGCAAGAAAAAACCGUUAGUCUUAAUGUUGAAGUACAGCAUGUAGUUGAAGGAAAAAGAGCAUUUUCAGAGCUUACACAAGACGUUACUUGUUGUAAGGCAAAAAUACAGGAACUGGAAACAAUCUUAGAGACACAGAAAGACAAAUACAAUUUGUCAGCCAAGUUAGAACAAGAAAUAUUGGAAAAGGAGUCUGUCAUCCUUAAGCUGGAAAGAAACCUGGAAGAAUUGCAAGCAAAUCUUCAGGAUUCUGUCAAGAACACCAAAGAUUUAAGUGAAAGAGAAGUCAAGUUGAAAGAAGAAAUCACACAAUUAACAAAUAAUUUGCAAGAUGUGAAGCACUCGCUUCAGCUAAAGGAAGAAGAAAAUGAAACCAACAGGCAAGAAACAGAAAAAUUGAAAGAGGAGCUCUCUGCAAGCUCAGCUCUUACCCAGAAUCUGAAAGCAGAUCUUCAGAGGAAAGAUGAUGAUUAUUCUGAGCUGAAAGAGAAACUGGCUGAUGCCAAAAAGCAGAUUGAGCAAGUACAGAAAGAGGUCUGUGUAAUGCGUGAUGAGGAAAAAUUACUGAGGAUUAAAAUUAAUGAACUGGAGAAAAAGAAAAACCAAUGUUCUCAGGAAAUAGAAAUGAAACAGCGAACUAUUCAACAACUCAGGGUAAUGGAGCAGUUAAGCAAUCAGAAAAUGGAAGAAGCUUUACAACAGUAUGAGAAAGUUUGCAAAGAUCUGAAUGUUAAAGAGAAAAUAAUCGAAGAUAUGCUAAUGACACUGGAAGAGCAAGAACAAACCCAGGUAGAACAGGAUCAAGUACUUGAGGCUAAAUUAGAGGAAACUGAAAGGUUGGCUACAGAAUUGGAAAAAUGGAAGGAAAAAUUCAAAGACCUGGAGACCAAAACUAAUCAAAGUUCAAAUAAAGAAUUUGAGGAUAACACAAAUGCACUUAGUAAAAAGCUCAGUAAGCUUCAAGAUGAGUUACAGGAAUCUGAACAGAAAUAUAAAGCUGAUAGAAAAAAAUGGUUAGAAGAAAAAAUGGUGCUUAUCACUAAUGCAAAAGAAGCUGAAAACCUUCGAAACAAAGUGAUGAAAAAAUACGCUGAAGAGAGAGAACGCUGUUUAAAGCAACAGAAUGUAGUGGAAAAACUUACAGAACAGCUGGCAAAGAAAGAUAAUGACCUUCAAAAGUGGCGAGAAGAACGAGAUCAACUGGUUGCAGCUUUAGAAAUACAGCUGAGAGCACUGAUCUCUAGUAAUGUACAGAAAGAUAAUGAAAUUGAACAAUUAAAGAAGAUCACAUCAGAGGCUUCUAAAAUGGAAAAAUCAAGUGUGGCUAUCAUGCCCAGACAUACUAGCUUGAUGGAUCCUGGUGGAGUUGAAACUGACACUCAACCAACAAGUUUUGAAAUUUCCACAAGUGAAGUUGAGGAUGGAACUGUAGUCCUUGACUCUUGUGAAGUGUCAACAGAAAAUGUUCAAAUGACUCGAUUUCCAAAACCUGAGUUAGAGAUUCAGUUUACACCUUUGCGGCCAAACAAAGUGGCAGUGAAACACCCUGGUUGUACCUCACCAGUGACAGUUAAGAUUUCCAAGCCCAGAAAGAGGAAGAGUAAUGACAUGGAGGAGCUUACAAGACCUGAAGGCACCUCAGUAGACAGCCUUUGAAACCAGUUAGAAAUAGGCAAACAGAACAAGAAAGAUGAGCAUGAACACUCUUAGCAGGAUAAAGCCAGUAGGUGGCAACCUGUAACAUUCAAACCACAGUUGGAAACAUAAAUGUCCCACAAACUUGUUCAGCCAGGAACGAAACACAAACUUCCAACAAACUUGCUCAGCUGUGAAUGAGAUAAUAAAAGUAGAGAAGGCUUCGAUAAAUCCUAAAGAACUGAGCCAAAAUGCUUCAGGGUUCGAUUCAGGAGCACUCACCUUCUCACAGUUCCCAGUGGGUCCAAGAAAGUGAGAGGGCAAAAGAGACCCUUUGUCAGUGCCUGAUGGCGUUUUUCAACCCCUCAGCAUCCUGCUGGAGAGAGGUGAUUCCAAAUCCUGCUGACUAUUGUCAAAUGUUAAAGAGAAGACUCUCCAGCUCUGUUGAAGUAAAAUUAAAUAGAUUUAUUGAAGCCAGUAGAUUAUUCAAAUGGGGAAACAUGAAAACCUGAGGGUCUGAGGCUCACAAAUCAGGGAGGGGAUGCAAAUUAUACAUAAUUAUAGUGCCACAGGAGGAACUACAAACAGCAUUCUGAUUGAGGUCUCAAAGGCAAGACAAAGCAAAGAGUGAUUUUUAAUAUUACUGGUUACAUUAAUACAGCUAGAAUACAUUGAUUGGCUAAAGGACAUAAUUGCAAGGUAUCUGGUUGCAGAGGGGUUCUCAUGAGUGUCACAAAAUAAUGGCAUGACUAUGGCGGACGCAUACUGUCGGAAACAGGACUUGGUGAAGUAUGAAAAUAAGAAGAAUAUUAUACCCAGAACUAAUUCGAAGCUCCCCAUUUCAGAACAUGGAAAUUCUUCUGCCAAAAAUGAACAAAAGGUUU